UACGGAGGGUGCAAGCGUUAUCCGGAUUCACUGGGUUUAAAGGGUGCGUAGGUGGGCAAGUAAGUCAGUGGUGAAAUCUCCGGGCUUAACCCGGAAACUGCCAUUGAUACUAUUUGUCUUGAAUACUGUGGAGGUCAGCGGAAUGUGUCAUGUAGCGGUGAAAUGCUUAGAUAUGACAUAGAACACCAAUUGCGAAGGCAGCUGGCUACACGAAUAUUGACACUGAUGCACGAAAGCGUGGGGAUCAAACAGG
rnacentral:rRNA from 1 species